UUCACCCAUUAUGCUUAGACCUGCGAGACCAGCAAGACAGGACCAAGAGAAACUGGUAGCAACAGGAUCUGAAUAAAUGAAAAAUGCAAGAAGAGAACCCAGUAGCAGCUGAACAUCACCUCUGAUACCUGUGGGAUGGUCUGCCUCUGAAGGUGACAUUGUCCAGGACCUGGGGCAACCUUCUUGAAACGAAAGUGAAAGUGAAAGUGAAGUCGCUCAGUCGUGUCCGACUCUUUGGGACCCUGUGGACUGUAGCCUACCAGACUCCUCCGUCCAUGAGAUUCUCCAGGCAAGAAUACUGGAAUGGGUUGCCAUUUCCUUCUCCAGGGGAUCUUCCCAACCCAGGGAUGGAACCUGGGUCUCCUGCAUUGGAGGCAGACGCUUUAACUUCUGAGCUACCAGGGAAGCCUUGAAACAAAGCCUUUACUUGAUCAGGAUAAGUCUUCACUGGGGAGAAAGCCGCUUGGGAUGAGCCCCUUCACAAAGUCUAAAUCCUGAUAAGCUCUUUUUGUAUCAUGAAUACCUAGAUCUGAGGCUUCAAGCUGUAGAAUUCUGACUGGACUUCUAGUUUUUUUUUUUUAUUUUAUAAAAAAAAUUGGAGAAUAGUUGAUUUUGUGUUAGUUUUUGCUGUACAGCAAAGUGAUUCAGUUAAAUAUAUACGUAAAUCUACUCUUCCUUAGAUUCUGUUCUCAUAGAGGUCAUGAGAGUAUUGAGUAGCGUUCCUUGUGCUGUACAGUAGCUUUCUUAUUAGUUAUCUGUUUUAUAUAUAUCACUGUGUAUGUGUGUCAAUCCCAAAUCUCUCAAUUCAUCCCUCCCCACCUUUCCCCCUUAGUAUCCAUAAGUUUGUUUUCUAUAUGUGUGUGACCUUCCAGUUAAAAAAAAAAAAAAAUCCCACAUUAAAAGUUAAGCGUUUUUAUAGAAAAGUUUGGAUUGCAAGUUUUUUUGUUUUUUUGUUUUGAUCGCAAGUUUUAUUUUUCAGUGAACCAUCUGGCAAUACCACAUUCCUAUUCCCAC
rnacentral:tRNA from 1 species